GACAGAGGAGCCAAGCGUUGUCCGGAUUGACUGGGCGUAAAGCGCACGCAGGCGGUCGUGCACGUGGGGUGUGAAAACUGGCGGCUUAACUGCCAGAGGCCACCUCAUACGGCGCGACUCGAGCCCUGCAGAGGUCCAUGGAAUUGCCGGUGUAGUGGUGAAAUGCGUAGAUAUCAGGAGGAACACCGGUGGCGAAGGCGGGUCUCUGGGGCAACAACUGACGCUGAGGAGCGAAAGCGUGGGAGCGAACAGG
rnacentral:rRNA from 1 species